rnacentral:lncRNA from 1 species
CCUGCCCCCAUCCCUCUACCUCACUCCCAUGAGGUGCUCAAAGGAGGCGGGUGAGUAUAAGAAAAACAAACAAAAAAAACAAACAAACACCACCCUUGCAUUCGGGGAGUUUAACAAGCAGAAGGGUUGAGAGAUCUUUGUGCUUAAAGGCCCUCUGCUGAGUGCUUGAGAUGCAAAAGUAAGACAGAUUCGCUGUCAUCUCAGUACCUAAGUUGUGUUUUAUUAUGAAAUAUUGAUUUGUUUCCUUCUGUCCCACUCCCUCGACAGCUUUUCGCGGUGGAGACGGCGGCCGCCGGGACGGUGUCUGCCACACAGUAGGUGGUCAAAACCCGACAGCGGGAAGGAAAUGCAAUGGAACCGCCGCGGGCUUGAGUUUUCUCUUUUGAACAACGAGAAUGACAGCUCCAACGGGACACUUGGAGGUCAGGACGAACGAAAGGAACCUAAGAAGCUUGGAUGGGAAAGCCUCCUAGAAAUAAUGGAGUCGCAGGGAGGCGAGUGAGGAAACGCUGCAUUUCGUCCGGGUGUCCGAGGGAAGAAGAGAAGGAGGAGGGGUGAAACCGCUGAGCCAGAAGCAAGCCAGGGUCCUACAGAAGAGGGACAGCCCAGGCGACCGCAAGCAGUGCGGCGUCUGCACCCGCAGUGGCCACCGCGGGCAGGAGACCUAAAGGGAAGGGAAAGGGCAGGGGCGAGGAAAUCCAGGGAAAGCGCGCGGAUUGGUCCGCUCCUCGGGGCGUGUGCUUCUGUGCGCCAAGCGAUUGGUGGCGGGAAAGUAGCAGGUAAACCAGCCCCCACCGCCCCGCCA